UACGAAGGGGGCUAGCGUUGCUCGGAAUCACUGGGCGUAAAGGGUGCGUAGGCAGGUCUUUAAGUCAGGGGUGAAAUCCUGGAGCUCAACUCCAGAACUGCCUUUGAUACUGAAGAUCUUGAGUUCGGGAGAGGUGAGUGGAACUGCGAGUGUAGAGGUGAAAUUCGUAGAUAUUCGCAAGAACACCAGUGGCGAAGGCGGCUCACUGGCCCGAUACUGACGCUGAGGCACGAAAGCGUGGGGAGCAAACAGG
rnacentral:rRNA from 1 species